AUACAGAGGGUGCGAGCGUUAAUCGGAAUUACUGGGCGUAAAGCGCGCGUAGGCGGCUACUUAAGUCAGAUGUGAAAUCCCCGGGCUCAACCUGGGAACUGCAUCUGAUACUGGGUAGCUCGAGUUUUGGAGAGGGAAGUAGAAUUUCAGGUGUAGCGGUGAAAUGCAUAGAGAUCUGAAGGAAUACCAGUGGCGAAGGCGACUUCCUGGCCAAAAACUGACGCUGAGGUGCGAAAGCGUGGGUAGCAAACGGGAUUAGAAACCCUAGUAGUCC
rnacentral:rRNA from 1 species